UUUCCAGGUGUAGCGGUGAAAUGCGUAGAGAUAUGGAGGAAUACCGGUGGCGAAGGCAGCCCCCUGGACUAAAACUGACGCUCAGGUGCGAAAGCGUGGGGAGCAAACAGGAUUAGAUACCCUGGUAGUCCACGCUGUAAACGAUGUCGAUUUGGAGGUGGUGCCCUUGAGGCGUGGCUUCCGGAGCUAACGCGUUAAAUCGACCGCCUGGGGAGUACGGCCGCAAGGUUAAAAUUCAAAUGAAUUGACGGGGGCCCGCACAAGCGGUGGAGCAUGUGGUUUAAUUGGAUGCAACGGGAAGAACCUUACCUGUUCUUGACUUCCAGGGAACUUUCCAGAGAUGGUUUGGUGCCUUCGGGAAUUCUAAGACAGGUGCUGCAUGGCGGUCGUCAGCUCGUGUUGUGAAAUGUUGGGUUAAGUCCCGCAACGAGCGCAACCCUUUUCCUUUUUUGCCAGCGGUUCGGCCGGGAACUUUAAGGAGACUGCCAGUGAUAAACUGGAGGAAGGGGGGGAAGACGUCAAGUCAUCAUGGCCCUUACGAGCAGGGCUACACACGUGCUACAAUGGCAUAUACAAAGAGAAGCGACCUAGCGAGAGCAAGCGAACCUCAAUAAAGUCUGUCGUAGUCCGGAUUGGAGUCUGCAACUCGACUCCAUGAAGUCGGAAUCGCUGGUAA
rnacentral:rRNA from 1 species